AGCAAAAUAUACCGAAUAUUCAAA
rnacentral:siRNA from 1 species